UACGUAGGGAGCGAGCGUUGUCCGGAAUUACUGGGUGUAAAGGGUGCGUAGGCGGGUAUGCAAGUCAUAUGUGAAAUACCGGGGCUCAACUCCGGAACUGCAUAAGAAACUGUAUAUCUUGAGUGCAGAAGAGGUAAGCGGAAUUCCUAGUGUAGCGGUGAAAUGCGUAGAUAUUAGGAGGAACACCAGUGGCGAAGGCGGCUUACUGGGCUGUAACUGACGCUGAGGCACGAAAGCGUGGGGAG
rnacentral:rRNA from 1 species